rnacentral:rRNA from 1 species
GGGUUGUGAGGUUAAGCGACUAAGCGUACACGGUGGAUGCCCUGGCAGUCAGAGGCGAUGAAGGACGUGCUAAUCUGCGAUAAGCGCCGGUAAGGUGAUAUGAACCGUUAUAACCGGCGAUUUCCGAAUGGGGAAACCCAGUGUGACUCGUCACACUAUCAUUAACUGAAUCCAUAGGUUAAUGAGGCGAACCGGGGGAACUGAAACAUCUAAGUACCCCGAGGAAAAGAAAUCAACCGAGAUUCCCCCAGUAGCGGCGAGCGAACGGGGAGGAGCCCAGAGCCUGAAUCAGCAUGUGUGUUAGUGGAAGCGUCUGGAAAGGCGCGCGAUACAGGGUGACAGCCCCGUACACAAAAGCGCAUGUGCUGUGAGCUCGAUGAGUAGGGCGGGACACGUGGUAUCCUGUCUGAAUAUGGGGGGACCAUCCUCCAAGGCUAAAUACUCCUGACUGACCGAUAGUGAACCAGUACCGUGAGGGAAAGGCGAAAAGAACCCCGGCGAGGGGAGUGAAAAAGAACCUGAAACCGUGUACGUACAAGCAGUGGGAGCACCCUUUGGGGUGUGACUGCGUACCUUUUGUAUAAUGGGUCAGCGACUUAUAUUCUGUAGCAAGGUUAACCGUAUAGGGGAGCCGUAGGGAAACCGAGUCUUAACCGGGCGUUAAGUUGCAGGGUAUAGACCCGAAACCCGGUGAUCUAGCCAUGGGCAGGUUGAAGGUUGGGUAACACUAACUGGAGGACCGAACCGACUAAUGUUGAAAAAUUAGCGGAUGACCUGUGGCUGGGGGUGAAAGGCCAAUCAAACCGGGAGAUAGCUGGUUCUCCCCGAAAGCUAUUUAGGUAGCGCCUCGUGAAUUCAUCUCCGGGGGUAGAGCACUGUUUCGGCUAGGGGGCCAUCCCGGCUUACCAACCCGAUGCAAACUGCGAAUACCGGAGAAUGUUAUCACGGGAGACACACGGCGGGUGCUAACGUCCGUCGUGAAGAGGGAAACAACCCAGACCGCCAGCUAAGGUCCCAAAGUCAUGGUUAAGUGGGAAACGAUGUGGGAAGGCCCAGACAGCCAGGAUGUUGGCUUAGAAGCAGCCAUCAUUUAAAGAAAGCGUAAUAGCUCACUGGUCGAGUCGGCCUGCGCGGAAGAUGUAACGGGGCUAAACCAUGCACCGAAGCUGCGGCAGCGACACUGUGUGUUGUUGGGUAGGGGAGCGUUCUGUAAGCCUGUGAAGGUGUGUCGUGAGGCAUGCUGGAGGUAUCAGAAGUGCGAAUGCUGACAUAAGUAACGAUAAAGCGGGUGAAAAGCCCGCUCGCCGGAAGACCAAGGGUUCCUGUCCAACGUUAAUCGGGGCAGGGUGAGUCGACCCCUAAGGCGAGGCCGAAAGGCGUAGUCGAUGGGAAACGGGUUAAUAUUCCCGUACUUGGUGUUACUGCGAAGGGGGGACGGAGAAGGCUAUGUUGGCCGGGCGACGGUUGUCCCGGUUUAAGCGUGUAGGUGUGUGUUCCAGGUAAAUCCGGUUCACUUUAACACUGAGGCGUGACGACGAGGCACUACGGUGCUGAAGCAACAAAUGCCCUGCUUCCAGGAAAAGCCUCUAAGCAUCAGGUAACAUCAAAUCGUACCCCAAACCGACACAGGUGGUCAGGUAGAGAAUACCAAGGCGCUUGAGAGAACUCGGGUGAAGGAACUAGGCAAAAUGGUGCCGUAACUUCGGGAGAAGGCACGCUGACACGUAGGUGAAGUGAUUUACUCAUGGAGCUGAAGUCAGUCGAAGAUACCAGCUGGCUGCAACUGUUUAUUAAAAACACAGCACUGUGCAAACACGAAAGUGGACGUAUACGGUGUGACGCCUGCCCGGUGCCGGAAGGUUAAUUGAUGGGGUCAGCGCAAGCGAAGCUCCUGAUCGAAGCCCCGGUAAACGGCGGCCGUAACUAUAACGGUCCUAAGGUAGCGAAAUUCCUUGUCGGGUAAGUUCCGACCUGCACGAAUGGCGUAAUGAUGGCCAGGCUGUCUCCACCCGAGACUCAGUGAAAUUGAACUCGCUGUGAAGAUGCAGUGUACCCGCGGCAAGACGGAAAGACCCCGUGAACCUUUACUAUAGCUUGACACUGAACAUUGAGCCUUGAUGUGUAGGAUAGGUGGGAGGCUUUGAAGUGUGGACGCCAGUCUGCAUGGAGCCGACCUUGAAAUACCACCCUUUAAUGUUUGAUGUUCUAACGUGGACCCGUUACCCGGGUUGCGGACAGUGUCUGGUGGGUAGUUUGACUGGGGCGGUCUCCUCCUAAAGAGUAACGGAGGAGCACGAAGGUUGGCUAAUCCUGGUCGGACAUCAGGAGGUUAGUGCAAUGGCAUAAGCCAGCUUGACUGCGAGCGUGACGGCGCGAGCAGGUGCGAAAGCAGGUCAUAGUGAUCCGGUGGUUCUGAAUGGAAGGGCCAUCGCUCAACGGAUAAAAGGUACUCCGGGGAUAACAGGCUGAUACCGCCCAAGAGUUCAUAUCGACGGCGGUGUUUGGCACCUCGAUGUCGGCUCAUCACAUCCUGGGGCUGAAGUAGGUCCCAAGGGUAUGGCUGUUCGCCAUUUAAAGUGGUACGCGAGCUGGGUUUAGAACGUCGUGAGACAGUUCGGUCCCUAUCUGCCGUGGGCGCUGGAGAACUGAGGGGGGCUGCUCCUAGUACGAGAGGACCGGAGUGGACGCAUCACUGGUGUUCGGGUUGUCAUGCCAAUGGCACUGCCCGGUAGCUAAAUGCGGAAGAGAUAAGUGCUGAAAGCAUCUAAGCACGAAACUUGCCCCGAGAUGAGUUCUCCCUGAGACUUAGAGUCUCCUGAAGGAACGUUGAAGACGACGACGUUGAUAGGCCGGGUGUGUAAGCGCAGCGAUGCGUUGAGCUAACCGGUACUAAUGAACCGUGAGGCUUAACCUUACAACGCCGAAG